GUUGUCAUCCAUCAGGUACAUAUGAAGGCUGCCAAGGAAAAAGAGGGUGUAAAGCUACUUCAAACAGUUGAGGUUGACCUGUUGUCAGAUGAUGAUUAUGUAGAUGCAAGGCAAAUAUGAUGACAAAAGGAACAAUAAAUGAGAUUGCAGAAGAAAUCUCCUCGAGGAACAUGGAAAAAUGCCUUUUCUACUCUCAAAGAUCUUUGUCAUAGCUUAUUUUUUUGAGAUAUUUACCCCUUUUUUUGCCUUGCAAAUGAAAGUUGAUAGAAGCUGCUUUCUUUCCAGGAGGAAGGGGAGGAGGCUUAUUUACAAACUUACAGCAGCAAUUAUGAAUAAGAUGCUAAUGAUAAUUACAAUGAAUACUUUGAAUCGGUGCAGCUUUCACCAGGAGAAGAGAAGCCAAAGUUCAAGGAAGAUUUACCAGCGAACUGCAAGGCAAUGCCAUGACGCAGCAAUAGAAUAUAGCUGGCAAGGGGUUAAAUGUACCUUCAUCUAUUUUGACGGAACCAAGCGAUUCUGGUGUUGUGAUGCUUGUGCAGGCUGGACCACAUGUGAAGCAGAACAUGCUCCAGAGGACUACGAUUCAGACAAGACCAAAGAGUGGGGAGAAUCCAGCAAGAGUACAAGACAGGGGUGGCAUCGAGUAAGGAAGAUGUGCACGAGAAUCUUUUUGUUUCGGUACUGGAUGGAAGGAGCCCCUUGUUGGCCCAUUUCGUGUCACUGCAAAAUUCACCAAUACCCGGCCCAGCAUUUUUCACGUGGCCUGUCCCGCUACCAUUUGGGCCAACUGCAUCUUUGCGA